rnacentral:rRNA from 1 species
CCUACGGGUGGCAGCAGUGGGGAAUAUUGGACAAUGGGCGAAAGCCUGAUCCAGCCAUGCCGCGUGUGUGAAGAAGGCCUUCGGGUUGUAAAGCACUUUCAGUGGGGAAGAAAGCCUUGGGGCUAAUACCCUCGAGGAAGGACAUCACCCACAGAAGAAGCACCGGCUAACUCCGUGCCAGCAGCCGCGGUAAUACGGAGGGUGCGAGCGUUAAUCGGAAUUACUGGGCGUAAAGCGCGCGUAGGCGGUCUGAUAAGCCGGUUGUGAAAGCCCCGGGCUCAACCUGGGAACGGCAUCCGGAACUGUCAGGCUAGAGUGCAGGAGAGGAAGGUAGAAUUCCCGGUGUAGCGGUGAAAUGCGUAGAGAUCGGGAGGAAUACCAGUGGCGAAGGCGGCCUUCUGGACUGACACUGACGCUGAGGUGCGAAAGCGUGGGUAGCAACCAGGAUUAGAUACCCUGGUAGUC